rnacentral:rRNA from 1 species
UUAAUGCAUAGGAAUCUGCCCGGUAGUGGGGGAUAACCUGGGGAAACCCAGGCUAAUACCGCAUACGUCCUACGGGAGAAAGGGGGCUUCGGCUCCCGCUAUCGGAUGAGCCUAUGUCGGAUUAGCUAGUUGGUGGGGUAACGGCCCACCAAGGCGACGAUCCGUAGCUGGUCUGAGAGGAUGAUCAGCCACAUCGGGACUGAGACACGGCCCGAACUCCUACGGGAGGCAGCAGUGGGGAAUAUUGGACAAUGGGGGCAACCCUGAUCCAGCCAUGCCGCGUGUGUGAAGAAGGCCUUCGGGUUGUAAAGCACUUUCAGCGAGGAAGAACGCCUGGCGGUUAAUACCCGCCAGGAAAGACAUCACUCGCAGAAGAAGCACCGGCUAACUCCGUGCCAGCAGCCGCGGUAAUACGGAGGGUGCAAGCGUUAAUCGGAAUUACUGGGCGUAAAGCGCGCGUAGGUGGCUUGAUAAGCCGGUUGUGAAAGCCCCGGGCUCAACCUGGGAACGGCAUCCGGAACUGUCAGGCUAGAGUGCAGGAGAGGAAGGUGGAAUUCCCGGUGUAGCGGUGAAAUGCGUAGAGAUCGGGAGGAAUACCAGUGGCGAAGGCGGCCUUCUGGACUGACACUGACACUGAGGUGCGAAAGCGUGGGUAGCAAACAGGAUUAGAUACCCUGGUAGUCCACGCCGUAAACGAUGUCGACCAGCCGUUGGGGUGCCUUGUGCACUUUGUGGCGAAGUUAACGCGAUAAGUCGACCGCCUGGGGAGUACGGCCGCAAGGUUAAAACUCAAAUGAAUUGACGGGGGGCCCGCACAAGCGGUGGAGCAUGUGGUUUAAUUUCGAUGCAAACGCGAAAGAA